rnacentral:snRNA from 1 species
ACUCAUAUCUUGCAUGGGAAAUACUAUGUCAUAAAAGUGGUUUUCCAGGGGGAGGCUUAUCCAUUUUGCUUUGGGUAUGCUGCUGAUCCCUAUGAUUUCUCCAAAUGUAUAAAACUAAAUAGCAUAAUUUGUGUUAAUGGGUGAUUUCUCUGG